rnacentral:piRNA from 1 species
UAGAUGCACCCACUUUUAUGUUUCUAGAAUC